GAAAGAUUAGUUUAUUAAAAACAUUUGUCUGUCAGAUUUAAAAAACUAAGUUGAUGGUAUUUUUCU
rnacentral:tRNA from 1 species